rnacentral:piRNA from 1 species
UACCUGGUGCUGUGUCCCAGCUCUGACACU